AACGAACGCUGGCGGCAUGCCUAACACAUGCAAGUCGAACGAGACCUUCGGUCUAGUGGCGCACGGGUGCGUAACGCGUGGGAAUCUGCCCUUGGGUUCGGAAUAACAGCGAGAAAUUGCUGCUAAUACCGGAUGAUGACGUAAGUCCAAAGAUUUAUCGCCAAGGAUGAGCCCGCGUAGGAUUAGCUAGUUGGUGAGGUAAAGGCUCACCAAGGCGACGAUCCUUAGCUGGUCUGAGAGGAUGAUCAGCCACACUGGGACUGAGACACGGCCCAGACUCCUACGGGAGGCAGCAGUGGGGAAUAUUGGACAAUGGGCGGAAAGACCUGAUCCAGCAAUGCCGCGUGAGUGAUGAAGGACC
rnacentral:rRNA from 1 species